GGGUUUUCCCCCUUUAGUGCUGAAGUUAACGCAUUAAGCACUUCCCCUGGGGAGUACGGCCGCAAGGCUGAAACUCAAAGGAAUUUGACGGGGGCCCGCACAAGCGGUGGAGCAUGUGGUUUAAUUCGAAGCAACGCGAAGAACCUUACCAGGUCUUGACAUCCUCUGAAAACCCUAGAGAUAGGGCUUCUCCUUCGGGAACAGAGUGACAGGUGGUGCAUGGUUGUCGUCAGCUCGUGUCGUGAGAUGUUGGGUUAAGUCCCGCAACGAGCGCAACCCUUGAUCUUAGUUGCCAUCAUUAAGUUGGGCACUCUAAGGUGACUGCCGGUGACAAACCGGAGGAAGGUUGGGAUGACGUCAAAUCAUCAUGCCCCUUAUGACCUGGGCUACACACGUGC
rnacentral:rRNA from 1 species